AUAAUGGGUCAGCGACUUAUAUUCUGUAGCAAGGUUAACCGAAUAGGGGAGCCGAAGGGAAACCGAGUCUUAACUGGGCGUUAAGUUGCAGGGUAUAGACCCGAAACCCGGUGAUCUAGCCAUGGGCAGGUUGAAGGUUGGGUAACACUAACUGGAGGACCGAACCGACUAAUGUUGAAAAAUUAGCGGAUGACUUGUGGCUGGGGGUGAAAGGCCAAUCAAACCGGGAGAUAGCUGGUUCUCCCCGAAAGCUAUUUAGGUAGCGCCUCGUGAAUUCAUCUCCGGGGGUAGAGCACUGUUUCGGCAAGGGGGUCAUCCCGACUUACCAACCCGAUGCAAACUGCGAAUACCGGAGAAUGUUAUCACGGGAGACACACGGCGGGUGCUAACGUCCGUCGUGAAGAGGGAAACAACCCAGACCGCCAGCUAAGGUCCCAAAGUCAUGGUUAAGUGGGAAACGAUGUGGGAAGGCCCAGACAGCCAGGAUGUUGGCUUAGAAGCAGCCAUCAUUUAAAGAAAGCGUAAUAGCUCACUGGUCGAGUCGGCCUGCGCGGAAGAUGUAACGGGGCUAAACCAUGCACCGAAGCUGCGGCAGCGACACUGUGUGUUGUUGGGUAGGGGAGCGUUCUGUAAGCCUGCGAAGGUGUGCUGUGAGGCAUGCUGGAGGUAUCAGAAGUGCGAAUGCUGACAUAAGUAACGAUAAAGCGGGUGAAAAGCCCGCUCGCCGGAAGACCAAGGGUUCCUGUCCAACGUUAAUCGGGGCAGGGUGAGUCGACCCCUAAGGCGAGGCCGAAAGGCGUAGUCGAUGGGAAACAGGUUAAUAUUCCUGUACUUGGUGUUACUGCGAAGGGGGGACGGAGAAGGCUAUGUUGGCCGGGCGACGGUUGUCCCGGUUUAAGCGUGUAGGCUGGUUUUCCAGGCAAAUCCGGAAAAUCAAGGCUGAGGCGUGAUGACGAGGCACUACGGUGCUGAAGCAACAAAUGCCCUGCUUCCAGGAAAAGCCUCUAAGCAUCAGGUAACAUCAAAUCGUACCCCAAACCGACACAGGUGGUCAGGUAGAGAAUACCAAGGCGCUUGAGAGAACUCGGGUGAAGGAACUAGGCAAAAUGGUGCCGUAACUUCGGGAGAAGGCACGCUGAUAUGUAGGUGAAGUCCCUCGCGGAUGGAGCUGAAAUCAGUCGAAGAUACCAGCUGGCUGCAACUGUUUAUUAAAAACACAGCACUGUGCAAACACGAAAGUGGACGUAUACGGUGUGACGCCUGCCCGGUGCCGGAAGGUUAAUUGAUGGGGUCAGCGCAAGCGAAGCUCUUGAUCGAAGCCCCGGUAAACGGCGGCCGUAACUAUAACGGUCCUAAGGUAGCGAAAUUCCUUGUCGGGUAAGUUCCGACCUGCACGAAUGGCGUAAUGAUGGCCAGGCUGUCUCCACCCGAGACUCAGUGAAAUUGAACUCGCUGUGAAGAUGCAGUGUACCCGCGGCAAGACGGAAAGACCCCGUGAACCUUUACUAUAGCUUGACACUGAACAUUGAGCCUUGAUGUGUAGGAUAGGUGGGAGGCUUUGAAGUGUGGACGCCAGUCUGCAUGGAGCCGACCUUGAAAUACCACCCUUUAAUGUUU
rnacentral:rRNA from 1 species